AUUGAACGCUGGCGGAAUGCUUUACACAUGCAAGUCGAACGGCAGCACGGACUUCGGUCUGGUGGCGAGUGGCGAACGGGUGAGUAAUGUAUCGGAACGUGCCCAGUCGUGGGGGAUAACGUAGUGAAAAUUACGCUAAUACCGCAUACGAUCUAUGGAUGAAAGCGGGGGAUCGCAAGACCUCGCGCGAUUGGAGCGGCCGAUAUCAGAUUAGGUAGUUGGUGGGGUAAAGGCCCACCAAGCCAACGAUCUGUAGCUGGGCUGAGAGGACGAGCAGCCACACUGGACAUGAGCCCCGGUCCAGACGCCUACGGUAGGCAGCAGUGGGGAAUUUUGGACAAUGGGCGAAAGCCUGAUCCAGCCAUUCCGCGUGCAGGAUGAAGGCCCUCGGGUUGUAAACUGCUUUUGUACAGAACGAAAAGGUUUCUACUAAUACUAGGAGCUCAUGACGGUACUGUAAGAAUAAGCACCGGCUAACUACGUGCCAGCCGCCGCAGUAA
rnacentral:rRNA from 1 species